AAGUUCUUCAUAUCUUUGUGUGUGAUCACCUUAUGUAUACACAUGUAUUAUUCUUUCAUUAGCCAAUUUGUAGUUUCCUCAUGAAAAAGACCCCCAAAACAUCCAUUAGAACCAUUGCUCUCUUUGUUUCCCUGAAAUGUUUUUGACGCCUCAAAUAUUUUUGUGUUUUUUGCCUUUCUCGCUGCUUUUAGUGGUUUUGUUACUCUCUUGUCAUCAUCGGCACUACCACCGCCAUCAUUAUCAUCAUCUUUUCCAUCGUUGUCAUUUUUGUUUUAAUUUGUCCUCCCCAAAGCUAAUGUGCACCUUGUACAACCUUUCAAAGAGAUUGUUAGAUAUGCAACUUUAAAAAUUGGUAGAUUUGAUGUUUUGCACAAUAUGCCACAGUGCCUUAUCAGCUGUGCAAAACAUGUGUUCCGAAUGACUAAGUACAAGGCAGAUUAUGAUGUUCUAUAUGUUCCAUGCAGGAUAAUUAUACCAUUAUGAAUCUUGUAUCCAAUUUUUGUUGGAUACAAGGUUAGAAAUUCACUGUUUUUAAAAUUUUCUAGUAUAGGCAGAUUAUGACAUUCUAUAUGUUCCAUGCAGGAUAAGUAAACCAUUAUGAAUCUUGUAUCCAAUUUUUUAGUUUCUCUUUUCUUAUACCUGUUUUUUCUCUGUUCCAUUUGCAUUUCUAUUCAGCAUCACCAAAUGAUAUUAGGAAUGUAUCUUUACGACGGUAAUGUUUGUAUACCUCAUAUAUGUUUUCUUAUAUGCAACGUUUAACACUUGUUUAUUUUAUGACAUCAAUACUCGAUCAGAUAAUGAAGCAUAAAUAUACUGUAUAGAUAUAUGAUGCUCUUUCCUCAGAGUCUGACUGACAUAUUGUCACCAAUAUUUUCCUCUGUAACAGUACAUAUAUGUAGUGUAAAGAAAAAUGUGCAAUGGUGAAGUCUACUUUAGUUUGCAUAACAAUUGGAAUAAUAUGUAUACAAAUAUGUUUUGCUCUCUUAUAUACAACAAAUUGGUCUAUUUGGAUGAUAAAUAAAAACUGCAAAAUAUGAUAACCUUA